rnacentral:rRNA from 1 species
CCUACGGGUGGCAGCAGUGAGGAAUAUUGGUCAAUGGGCGAGAGCCUGAACCAGCCAAGUCGCGUGAAGGAUGAAGGAUCUAUGGUUUGUAAACUUCUUUUAUAUGGGAGUAAAGUGAGGAACGUGUUCCUUUUUGUAUGUACCAUAUGAAUAAGCAUCGGCUAACUCCGUGCCAGCAGCCGCGGUAAUACGGAGGAUGCGAGCGUUAUCCGGAUUUAUUGGGUUUAAAGGGUGCGUAGGUGGUUAAUUAAGUCAGCGGUGAAAGUUUGUGGCUCAACCAUAAAAUUGCCGUUGAAACUGGUUGACUUGAGUAUAUUUGAGGUAGGCGGAAUGCGUGGUGUAGCGGUGAAAUGCAUAGAUAUCACGCAGAAUUCCGAUUGCGAAGGCAGCUUACUAAACUAUAACUGACACUGAAGCACGAAAGCGUGGGGAGCAAACAGGAUUAGAUACCCCAGUAGUC